GCCGGCCCUAGGCUGAUCCCCGAAAACCCGCUUCCCUGGCGUGGCUGGGCCGGCAUCCCAAUCAGGG
rnacentral:sRNA from 1 species